rnacentral:rRNA from 1 species
AGCGAACGCUGGCGGCGUGCUUAACACAUGCAAGUCGAGCGCCCCGCAAGGGGAGCGGCAGACGGGUGAGUAACACGUGGGAACGUGACUUUUGGUUUGGAACAACCCAGCGAAACUUGGGCUAAUAUCGGACAAGCCAGUACGGGGCAAGGUUUAUCGCCAAAAGGUCAGCCCGCGUCUGAUUAGCUAGUUGGUGGGGUAAGGGCCCACCAAGGCUACGAUCAGUAGCUGGUCUGAGAGGAAGAUCAGCCACAUUGGGACUGAGACACGGCCCAAACUCCUACGGGAGGCAGCAGUGGGUAAUAUUGGACAAUGGGGGCAACCAUGAUCCAGCCAUUCCGGGUGAGUGAUGAAGGCCUUAGGGUUGUAUAGCUCUUUUAGCAGGGAAGAUAAUGACGGUACCUGCAGAAAAAGCCCCGGCUAACUUCGUGCCAGCCGCCGCCGUAA